GAUGAACGCUGGCGGCGUGCCUAAUACAUGCAAGUCGAGCGAACAGACGAGAGUGCUUGCACUCUCUGACGUUAGCGGCGGACGGGUGAGUAACACGUGGGUAACCUACCUAUAAGACUGGGAUAACUUCGGGAAACCGGAGCUAAUACCGGAUAAUAUUUAGCUUCGCAUGAAGCAAUAGUGAAAGACGGUUCUGCUGUCACUUAUAGAUGGACCCGCGGUGUAUUAGCUAGUUGGUGAGGUAACGGCUCACCAAGGCAACGAUACAUAGCCGACCUGAGAGGGUGAUCGGCCACACUGGGACUGAGACACGGCCCAGACUCCUACGGGAGGCAGCAGUAGGGAAUCUUCCGCAAUGGACGAAAGUCUGACGGAGCAAUGCCGCGUGAGUGAAGAAGGUGUUCGGAUCGUAAAACUCUGUUGUAAGGGGAGAACAAGUACGUUAGUAACUGAACGUACCUUGACGGUACCUUACCAGAAAGCCACGGCUAACUACGUG
rnacentral:rRNA from 1 species